AAAUCUAUAAUAUGGCUCCGGUGUAGAAGUAAACACGAUUUUACUAUUAAAGAGGAAAUAGUUUACAUCAAAGAUGAACAUGAAGAGGAUGAGGGACAGGAAACAGUUUUAUUGAUGAUAAUAUAGCGUUUCAUAUAUCUCUAGUACUAUAAUUGUCCAGAGAGCUCUGCGGAUUAGUUCAAUUUACGAUUUUCGCUGGAGAUAUAUUUUAACCGACAACAGCUCAGUCAAUAAUGAAACUAAGUACUAAUCAAAAAGCAAUCGUGACUGGAUUUGUGCAACUUUGUGGCGUUACUGUAGCUUCAGUGCUGAUUGAGAGAUGUGGUCGGAAGCCGCUGAUCAUCGUCCGUCCUUCAUUUCCGGUUUGAGCAUGUGUGUGCUGGCCACUUGGUUUCUCCUAUAACACUUCAAUCCUCCAGGAUAUAUUUCCGUCAUUUCUCUCUGCUUUUGUAUUUUUUGCGAUAGUUCUGGCACUUUAUGUCUAAUAUUAACAGGCGAUA